UACGGAGGGUGCAAGCGUUAUCCGGAUUCACUGGGCUUAAAGGGUGCGUAGGCGGGUUGGUAAGUCAGUGGUGAAAUCUCCGAGCUUAACUUGGAAACUGCCAUUGAUACUAUCAGUCUUGAAUACCGUGGAGGUCAGCGGAAUAUGUCAUGUAGCGGUGAAAUGCUUAGAUAUGACAUAGAACACCAAUUGCGAAGGCAGCUGGCUACACGAGUAUUGACACUGAGGCACGAAAGCGUGGGGAUCAAACAGG
rnacentral:rRNA from 1 species